ACCUUUGUGGUGUAGUUGGUAGCGCCUUGACUUACUAAUUAUAAGUCCUAGGUUCAAGUCCCGGUUAGGGUA